GGCGGCGUGCCUAACACAUGCAAGUCGAACGAGAAAGUUGGCUUCGGCCGAUGAGUAAAGUGGCGCACGGGUGAGUAACGCGUGGAUAAUCUGCCCUUUAAGUUUGGAAUAACGUACCGAAAGGUGCGCUAAUACCGGAUAAUACUGAAUGACUACUGUCGUUUAGUCAAAGAAGGCUUCUGUUUACAUGCUUUUGCUGAAGGAUGAGUCCGCGUACCAUUAGCUAGUUGGUAGGGUAAUGGCCUACCAAGGCGACGAUGGUUAGCUGGUCUGAGAGGAUGAUCAGCCACACUGAAACUGAGACACGGUCCAGACUCCUACGGGAGGCAGCAGUGAGGAAUAUUGCGCAAUGGGGGCAACCCUGACGCAGCAACGCCGCGUGAGUGAGGAAGGUUUUCGGACCGUAAAGCUCUGUCGAGCGGGAAGAAAUGCAUGGUGGCUAAUAUCCAUCAUGCUUGACGGUACCGCUAAAGGAAGCACCGGCUAACUCCGUG
rnacentral:rRNA from 1 species